CCUACGGGAGGCAGCAGUGGGGAAUAUUGCACAAUGGGGGAAACCCUGAUGCAGCGACGCCGCGUGAGUGAAGAAGGGUUUCGGCUCGUAAACUUCUAUCAACAGGGACGAAAGAAAUGACGGUACCUGAAUAAGAAGCCCCGGCUAACUACGUGCCAGCAGCCGCGGUAAUACGGAGGGGGCAAGCGUUAUCCGGAUUUACUGGGUGUAAAGGGAGCGUAGACGGCAGUGCAAGUCUGGAGUGAAAGGCGGGGGCUCAACCCCCGGACUGGUCUGGAAACUGUACGGCUGGAGGGCAGGAGAGGUAAGUGGAAUUCCUGGUGUAGCGGUGAAAUGCGUAGAUAUUAGGAGGAACACCAGUGGCGAAGGCGGCUUUCUGGACUGUAACUGACGUUGAGGCUCGAAAGCGUGGGGAGCAAACAGGAUUAGAUACCCGAGUAGUC
rnacentral:rRNA from 1 species